UUUUUCUUUUUUUUUUUACAUAUGGCAGGUCUGCAGGUAGAAGAAAAAUCAAGCUUCUAUGUAGAAUGAAAGCCAGGCUUUCUUAUGUUUCAUUCAGAGGCAGGAAUGGGAGUCAGAUUUGAACGUAGUUUGUUAUUAUGGUACUACAAAGAGAGGAAUUUGCAAUGACAGCUCAAUUUCUGUGCAGCCAACCUUAAAAAUGAAAACAGCCCACCUAGUCAGAUGGUUCAUUCUAAAGAUUUACUGUCAGAAAGUAAAAAUAGCUGCUUCUCUGCAAAAUUUUGCAUGGAGUUAUUAGAUGAGACCUAGUCAGCAGGUGUGAAGCAGAAUGAAGUCAGUUUACUGUCUCAAAUUGUAUCACCUGAAAGUACAUCAGUCUGGCCUAUGCUGCAGCUCCAGCUAUUGGGCCACUUGGGCUCAGCAGCAGCUGCACAUGCAGCUCCUUGUCAUGAGAUCUGCGAGGAUCUCCUGACCCCCAGUAGAUUUGCCUGUGGAAAAGUGCACAUAGGGCCCAUGCUUUAGAAAUCCUUUUAAAAAAUUACAUAAAACACAGUUCUCUGAAUAUUUUAUAGUCCAUAAAAUGCAAUCUCUUUCACUAGCUCCAUAGUGCCCAGGCUUGGAAAUUCUUUUUAAAAUAGAUCUUAGUGGUAAUGAGGGGAUGGAAUGGAAUAGAAGGGAGUGCAUGUGGAUCGAUAUGAAUUUUAGGUAUGGAAUUAUAAAUGUUAACAUAAUUAAUACAUAGGUGGGGUUUCACAUAUGAGAACAGGUUUUAAUUUGAUUAGAAAUUAUAUAUUAUUUCUAAGAAUAAUAUAAAUCCCAAAAGAAUAAAAACAUAAACUAUGUCUUGGGUCUGACAAAUUACUCCCUCAGACUCAAACAAAACAGUAUGAAAUUACUCAGACUUCUUACUGAAAGACAGCUUCUUGUUACUGAAAAUGGCUUGGCAGUCUUAAAUGAAAAUUGAAUGCUGGCACUGGAUUAUUCCAUGUUUUCAUUGUUUUUGGGAGUAGCUCCUGGAAGGAAGAUCAGAAGGUCAAAUUAGGUCUGUCCCCAAACCUUUGGAAAUGUGACUUAGUGAAAUUAGACUUUGUUUGUAUGAUUUUUAUGUAAAGAAAAAUGUUUUCUUUGAAACCAUAAAUUUAGUCCUAUGUCUAAGCCUUUCACAUCUGAGGUGAAUAAAGCAUCAAAAUGAAUCUGACAUGGAUUGUGUUUAAAACUUACACAUUAUAAAGUUCAGUUAACAGGAACAUACAGGAUGCUGUAUUGAACAUUCUGCUAAUUUUUCAAGUAAUGAGACCUAUCUUCUUUCUUGAACUUUGGAUCAGGUCUCAGAGGAAUACAUCCACACGCUAUUUAGCAUUUAAAAUGCCAGGUAAAAUAGCUGCUGUAUGAUGAAGCAAUUCCUCUUAGUGAGAGAGAACAGCUUUUCUGCCUCAAUGUUUCCAGCUAGUCCUGUGCUGCCUGCAGAGGUAAGGGCAAUUCUGUCUGGGCUUUUCCCCGGUAAGAUGGAAUAAUUUCUCACAGCCCAAGGGUUCUCAAGUGAAACUUCUAAGUGUUGCCCAAACCUCAGUUAAAUGAUCUUUCACAUAAACCAAAGAUUAUUAUACAGUUAACUUGACCUUUGUUUCAUUUGUGUCAAAGCAAUGUCAGCUGUUCUGGUCAUAAAUCAGGACCUUGCCAUACAAACUCAGAGAAGAUUAUGACUUUCUCUUCUGGAUUGUAACCAUACUGUUGCCUUUUGGUUUAUUAUUCAUUUGUAUGCCAGUGGUGUGUGUGGUGGUCACUGAGAGCUGUUGUCUGAGGGACUGACUGACAUCCAAAGGAAAAGCCCUUCUCCAUUUGUUUGCAGUCUGGAGAGAAAAACAAAUGAGGAAGGGAUGUAAGGACACAGGGAAGAAAGGAGAUUUCAGUCUCAGGUUACACUGUAAAUCAAUGGCAAUGCCAGCAUAACCUCUUGUGCUCUGUUCUCUGAAGCUGGUUUCUGCACAGCAGGAAUAUCACAGUUGUGAUUGUGCACUUACAGACUGCAGACCUUUUCAUGACUCUUGUGUUUGAGCUUCGACACCUUUCUCUUGAGGCCUUAAGAGCGCUAUGGCAAAGAUCAUCAUUUAAGUGCAGAGACAAUUGAUCUUGUUUUUGUAAUGGGAUGACAUUCUCUCCUCACUGAAUGAAUGUUAUGUACAAAAUAGACUUACCUAUUCCCACAGCCAGAUUUCCUGUCUCUGAAGCAAUGUGAAUGGCAAACCUGAGUCAUGGCUUGGAUGAAAAUCAAUUCUGCUGCUUUUAAGCGCAGCCAUUAAUAGAUGCUCUCCCAUCUUGUGCCACAGAGGCAUGUGUUGUCCUAAUGAAAGACCUCAUAACUUCCGGAGAAGUGGAGGAAGACAAAGUAGAAUAUUUCUUCUGGUCAUUUACAUUCAUUCCUAAUCCCACCUCAGGCAUGAUUGAAUCUCUUGCUCCUUUGCUGAAGUCACCUAAAGCAAGCCAGAGCUGCUUCUUGGGAGUAACUGCUCUCAUACAUAGGUUUUGUUCAGCUCACAGCUCCUGUGGUGUUGUACCUGCUGUGCAGGGUGUGAUGAGUACACUUGGGAAAUUUUUGGGAGGAAACUGUACCGUGCAAGAUUCAGAACAUCUCAGCAAGAUGCAGCUGGUGUUGAAAGCCAUUGGAAAUGCGGGACUGGCGGCAGCUUCACUGGCUCCUGCUUUGAGCUCGUGCGCUGCCCUGAAGAGCCAUCCCGUGGAGAUCCGCCUCGCUGCUGUCCAGGCCUUCCGGCGCAUUCCCUGCUCUGCUGGGACUGCUAUAUUAGUUCAGCUGUAUCAAGCAUCCAGUGAAGAUGUGGAAAUAAGAAUUGCUGCUUAUUAUAUAGCAAUGAAAUGUCCAAAUGAAGAGUUAUUUAAACAAGUACAAAAAACUUUGCUGAAAGAAACCUCCAGUCAAGGUCAGCCAAGCAACUACUGAAGUCUUACAUGUUCCUAAUUGAUACUUCAAAGUGACAUUUACUUUGCAGGUGUAAUUGUACCAAUCUAUGUAAAUUUUUAUUUAAUCUCAAUGUUUUGUAGAUUGUUUGUAUGAUUGUAACAUUUUAUAUUGAAAUUGUGAUACCAUUAGUUUAGCAAUAGUAAGGACUGACUUUUCAUAGAAUUAGUUCUUUCUACUCGCAGCAUUUCAUUCACUGAGGGCUCCUGAGAAGGAUAUAUGGAAAAGCUUUGAUGCUAAGUGCAUUAGAAAUACAAUUGGAUGACUGCAAAUAGCAUUUUGCUGAGAAAGAAGCAAGUGGCAGAAAAAAAUGUUACUCUAUUCUCAAAUGGUUUCACUAAGUUCAGUGAAGGAUACCUCUAGACUAAUCCCUUGCAUGUACAUCUGUGAAGAAGAAGCAAACAUGAGAAGGGUAUCUGGAAGAUUGUUCGCAGGCAGAUGAAAGCCGGCUCUGUCUGCACUGUGUUGGGGUCCUGGCAAGCUCUGCCUUGGAGCUGGUAUUCAUUUCCCAGGAUGUUAUGUCCAGAUCAGUGUAUCCUGCAGUGAUUGUGAUAUUAGGCUCAGCAUUGUGUUCACCUGCUGAUGUGGCUUGUGGUUUGGAGGGCACUCAUUCCUCUCUGUUCAGAAUUCCGACAGAAAGAAAUUGCAUCCACCUCCAAAAUCCUGUCAGGGUGUACCCUCAGUGACUCCUCCUGGUGACUCCAUGCAGAAAAUUUAGUUUGUUUGACUUAUGAAGGAGCUCUACAAGUCCAUCCAAAAUGUUGUAUGUUUUAAACUAUUUAAUUCAGUACACAUUCAUAUUCUUAAUUUCUUUCCUUUGUAUUUUGUUGAUGUGACAGCUAAAUAAUUUAUAUAGUAAACUUUUGAAUAGCAUGUGCUUUUGAAGGCAUAGGGCAUUUGUUAGGUUUUGGUUCUGCAUUCAGAAAACAAAAUUUGAAAAAAUGUGUUUUGAAAAAUGCGGUUACAUCAGUAUUCAGUGUCUGUGCGUUGAACUAACACUGGAGCCUAGUAUCUUGUAUCUUCAGGAGGCAAAAUGCCUCUAUUUAGGAACCAGACUCCAGAACAUGUGGGAAAUAUUUGUCCUCCACGACACAUCACAUAUGUGGCCAAACUGGGACUCCACAGUAUCACGCAGGAAUACUAAUUCUGAAUCAGGUUUAAUUGUAUGUGCCUUUUUUUAUGUACAGUGCUGUUGCAGUAGGUGCGUCAGACUGAUUUUAAUCAUGCUGAAAAUGAAUGGAUUCUGUUUUGGUCAGGGGAAUAGCUUAGAAUUAAUGGUGGUAUAAAAAAUUAAAAAUAUUUCCUGUCUCUCUUUUUAGGACUCCUGUAAUUUUUCUCUGAUUGUCACAUGCUUUUCUUUGUUGAAUUUUAGUGGGCUCCUUUGUUUGGAGUCAUCUCUCUCAGCUCUUGGAGACAGAUGACCCAUUGAAGGAGCACCUUCGAGAUUCUAUUCCUGAUGAAAUCCUUAGCAAAGAUUUUGACUGGGAGACAUGGAAAUACUCCUCAUACUCUGAUGUCACAUUUCAUUCAGGUAUGUGGAGUGAAAGGAGUUUUAGAACUUAAUACUUUGUAGCAUAUUGGUUAUUAACAUCUCACGAGGCUUUUCUGAGCCUUUACAUAUUGCUCCAGAAAACUUUGAUUUUUGUGAUUUAAUACUAUCCAAAUAUGCAAAUGUAAGCUUGAUUCUGCUUUGACCUUAAUUGGAGCAUAUGAAAUGUAUUUCCAGCAAACCAGAUAACCAUACACCUUUGCCUCUUGUGAGAGAGGAGACUAAGAACCAAUGAACACUUAAGAUUAUUUUUGUGAGCAUCAACUUUUAAUUCCUUCCUUAGUUAACCUCCUUUUCAGCAAUAGGGGACUGGGAUGUUUUUUCUUGUUCUGAUCCAUGUGCUGUCCUUGGUAUAAGAAAAGAGUCAAACUACUUCCUUCCUGUUCUACUAUCUGUUCAUUUGUUUUCAGUGAAAAUGCUAGAUGAUGUUUUUCAGUAACAUUUUGAUUUUCUGUCCAUUUCCUCCAGUGCAUGUAUGUAUCUUAUGAUUUAUAAAUUCUAUCCUUUUGAUGUUAGUGAGAUAAUACCCAGUAAUAUCCAGUAAAUAUGGAAUUCCAGUAAAUGGAAGUUACUAACAGUAAUGUCUUUGCUG
rnacentral:lncRNA from 1 species